UGGGGAAUAUUGGACAAUGGGCGCAAGCCUGAUCCAGCCAUGCCGCGUGAGUGAUGAAGGCCCUAGGGUUGUAAAGCUCUUUCACCGGUGAAGAUAAUGACGGUAACCGGAGAAGAAGCCCCGGCUAACUUCGUGCCAGCAGCCGCGGUAAUACGAAGGGGGCUAGCGUUGUUCGGAUUUACUGGGCGUAAAGCGCACGUAGGCGGACUAUUAAGUCAGGGGUGAAAUCCCGGGGCUAAACCCCGGAACUGCCUUUGAUACUGGUAGUCUUGAGUUCGGGAGGGGUGGGGGGAAUUCCGAGUGUAGGGGUGAAAUUCGUAGGUAUUCGGAGGAACACCAGUGGCGAAGGCGGCUCACUGGCUCGAUACUGACGCUAAGGUGCGAAAGCGUGGGGAGCAAACAGG
rnacentral:rRNA from 1 species